UACGGGGGGGGCAAGCGUUGUUCGGAAUUACUGGGCGUAAAGGGCUCGUAGGCGGCCAACUAAGUCAGACGUGAAAUCCCUCGGCUUAACCGGGGAACUGCGUCUGAUACUGGAUGGCUAGAGGUUGGGAGAGGGAUGCGGAAUUCCAGGUGUAGCGGUGAAAUGCGUAGAUAUCUGGAGGAACACCGGUGGCGAAGGCGGCAUCCUGGACCAAUUCUGACGCUGAGGAGCGAAAGCGUGGGUAGCAAACAGG
rnacentral:rRNA from 1 species